CCCACACUGGGAAUCAUCCUCUACCCCCCAUCACCCCACACUGGGGAUCAUCCUCUACCCCCCAUCACCCCACACUGGGGAUCAUCCUCUACCCCCCAUCACCCCACACUGGGGAUCAUUCUCUACCCCCCCAUCACCCCACACUGGGGAUCAUCCUCUACCCCCCAUCACCCCACACUGGGAAUCAUCCUCUACCCCCCAUCACCCCACACUGGGAAUCAUCCUCUACCCCCCCCAUCACCCCACACUGGGGAUCAUCCUCUACCCCCCGAUCACCCCACACUGGGGAUCAUUCUCUACCCCCCCCCAUCACCCCACACUGGGGAUCAUCCUCUACCCCCCCAUCACCCCACACUGGGGAUCAUCCUCUACCCCCAUCACCCCACACUGGGGAUCAUCCUCUACCCCCCCAUCACCCCACACUGGGGAUCAUCCUCUACCCCCAUCACCCCACACUGGGGAGGAGAGAGGUUCUCAGAGCACACUGGGCAAGCAGAGAACACCAUGGAGAGGUCCGUGACCUUGCAUCCAGCAGCAGAGGGAAUGGCUACCUCUGAGUGACAGGCAGUACAUCCACUGGACUGACCAUGGCACAGGACUUAGGAUAGUCUGAUCAGGCUUCAGAUACACAUCGAUCACCAUGACCUAAGAAGAAGAGUAAUGUUCAGAGCUGGGACAAAGACCUCUGGAUGCACAGGACAAAUAGCACUGUGUGUGUGUGUGUAUUGGUGGAUGUGUGUAUUGGUGGGUGUGUGUGUGUGUAUUGGUGGGUGUGUGUAUUGGUGUGUGUGUGUGUGUGUAUUGGUGGGUGUGUGUAUCGGUGGGUGUGUGUGUGUGUAUUGGUGGGUGUGUGUAUUGGUGUGUGUGUGUGUGUGUGUGUAUUGGUGUGUGUGUGUAUUGGUGGAUGUGUGUAUUGGUGUGUGUGUGUAUUGGUGGGUGUGUGUAUUGGUGUGUGUGUGUAUUGGUGUGUGUGUGUAUUGGUGGGUGUGUGUGUGUGUGUGUAUUGGUGGGUGUGUGUAUUGGUGGAUGUGUGUAUUGGUGUGUGUGUGUAUUGGUGGGUGUGUGUAUUGGUGGAUGUGUGUAUUGGUGUGUGUGUGUAUUGGUGUGUGUGUGUGUGUGUAUUGGUGGGUGUGUGUAUUGGUGUGUGUGUGUGUGUGUGUGUGUGUGUAUUGGUGGGUGUGUGUAUUGGUGUGUGUGUGUGUGUGUAUUGGUGUGUGUGUGUGUGUGUAUUGGUGGAUGUGUGUAUUGGUGUGUGUGUGUGUGUGUAUUGGUGUGUGUGUGUGUGUGUAUUGGUGUGUGUGUGUGUGUGUAUUGGUGGAUGUGUGUAUUGGUGUGUGUGUGUGUGUGUAUUGGUGGGUGUGUGUGUGUGUAUUGGUGGAUGUGUGUAUUGGUGUGUGUAUUGGUGGGUGUGUGUAUUGGUGGGUGUGUGUAUUGGUGGGUGUGUGUAUUGGUGGGUGUGUGUAUUGGUGGGUGUGUGUAUUGGUGGAUGUGUGUAUUGGUGGGUGUGUGUAUUGGUGGGUGUGUGUAUUGGUGGGUGUGUGUAUUGGUGGGUGGGUGUAUUGGUGGGUGUGUGUAUUGGUGGGUGGGUGUAUUGGUGGGUGUGUGUAUUGGUGGGUGUGUGUAUUGGUGGGUGUGUGUAUUGGUGGGUGUGUGUAUUGGUGGGUGUGUGUAUUGGUGGGUGUGUGUAUUGGUGGGUGUGUGUAUUGGUGGGUGUGUGUAUUGGUGGGUGUGUGUAUUGGUGGGUGUGUGUAUUGGUGGGUGUGUGUAUUGGUGGGUGUGUGUAUUGGUGGGUGUGUGUAUUGGUGGGUGUGUGUAUUGGUGGGUGUGUGUAUUGGUGGGUGUGUGUAUUGGUGGGUGUGUGUAUUGGUGGGUGUGUGUAUUGGUGGGUGUGUGUAUUGGUGGGUGUGUGUAUUGGUGGGUGUGUGUAUUGGUGGGUGUGUGUAUUGGUGGGUGUGUGUAUUGGUGGGUGUGUAUUGGUGUGUGUGUAUUGGUGGGUGUGUGUAUUGGUGGGUGUGUGUAUUGGUGUGUGUGUGUAUUGGUGGGUGUGUGUAUUGGUGGAUGUGUGUAUUGGUGGGUGUGUGUAUUGGUGGGUGUGUGUAUUGGUGGGUGUGUGUAUUGGUGGGUGUGUGUAUUGGUGGGUGUGUGUAUUGGUGGAUGUGUGUAUUGGUGGAUGUGUGUAUUGGUGUGUGUGUGUAUUGGUGGGUGUGUGUAUUGGUGGGUGUGUGUAUUGGUGGGUGUGUGUAUUGGUGGGUGUGUGUAUUGGUGUGUGUGUGUGUGUAUUGGUGUGUGUGUGUAUUGGUGGGUGUGUGUAUUGGUGGGUGUGUGUAUUGGUGGGUGUGUGUAUUGGUGUGUGUGUGUAUUGGUGGGUGUGUGUAUUGGUGGGUGUGUGUAUUGGUGGGUGUGUGUAUUGGUGUGUGUGUGUAUUGGUGGGUGUGUGUAUUGGUGUGUGUGUGUAUUGGUGGGUGUGUGUAUUGGUGGGUGUGUGUAUUGGUGGGUGUGUGUAUUGGUGGAUGUGUGUAUUGGUGUGUGUGUGUAUUGGUGGGUGUGUGUAUUGGUGGGUGUGUGUAUUGGUGGGUGUGUGUAUUGGUGUGUGUGUGUAUUGGUGGGUGUGUGUAUUGGUGGGUGUGUGUAUUGGUGGAUGUGUGUAUUGGUGGAUGUGUGUAUUGGUGGGUGUGUGUAUUGGUGGGUGUGUGUAUUGGUGGAUGUGUGUAUUGGUGUGUGUGUGUAUUGGUGUGUGUGUGUAUUGGUGUGUGUGUGUAUUGGUGGGUGUGUGUAUUGGUGGGUGGGUGUAUUGGUGGGUGUGUGUAUUGGUGGAUGUGUGUAUUGGUGGGUGUGUGUAUUGGUGGGUGUGUGUAUUGGUGGGUGUAUUGGUGGGUGUGUGUAUUGGUGGGUGUGUGUAUUGGUGUGUGUGUGUGUGUGUGUGUGUGUGUGUGUGUAUUGGUGGGUGUGUGUAUUGGUGGGUGUGUGUAUUGGUGGGUGUGUGUAUUGGUGGGUGUGUGUAUUGGUGGGUGUGUGUAUUGGUGGGUGUGUGUGUGUGUGUGUGUAUUGGUGGGUGUGUGAGACAAAGUAUGGUGCUUAUUCCUGUCUGCUCUUUUGUGUGUGAGAGUGAAUAGUUUCUCCAUCUCCCUGUCUUCUCCAUUCUAUUCUUCUCUCUCACUAACAACACACACUGAAUGACGAUGUCAUCCCGGAGUUUCUGUCACUGCCACCUCUACACAGUGCACGCUCUCUCUGUGAAGUCGCUGAAUGAUGAUGUCACUCGGGAGUUUCUGCCACUGCCUGCACCACCACCACCACCACCACUGCCCAGUCACGGUCGAAGGCCGGCGUUGAGACAACGUUUGGAUUCUGUUGUGUGAAUGGUGUGGAUCCCCCAUCCCAUUGUGUCUUUCAGUGCCAUUGUAAAGCACCUAUUGGCCUUGCUUGGCCUUGACUCUGUGGAUAGAGGACACAGUGUUUCUUAAUCAUCGUGUUUAAUAAUGACACAAUGUGGGUUAUACCCAGUACGUUUGGACUAGAGGGUACUACUAACAGAGCCAGUGAGAGAAACUGGAACUUUAGGGACGGAAGGUAGCCUAGUGGUUAAGAGCGUUGGGACAGUAACCGAAAGGUCGGUGGUUCGAAUCCUCGAGCGGACUAGGUGAAAAGAAAUCUGUAGAUCUGCCCUUGAUCAAGACACUUAACGCUGAUUGCUCCUGUAAGUCGCUCUGGAUAAGAGCGUCUGCUAAAUGACGGAAAUGUACUGGGUUGUGAUUAUGUGCCAUCUAUCCUUCGAAGACUGUAUUUGGUAUGUAAUAGUUUUAUACAUAGUUUAUCAACUCUGCCUGUCUCUGUGUUAAGUCAUGUUGUGAUUACAAUGCAGUAAAUGAUUGUGCAAGUGUAACUGAAAGCGCUUGUGUAUGUCUGUGUGUGUUUAAGAUAAGAUAACCAAGGUGUGUUUUGUUUUCUUAUCAAUGUUGUGUAAACCGCUAAACACACAACUUUAUCUCCACUCAUUAGCACUUACACACACACACACACACACACACACACACACACACACACACACACACACACACACACACACACACACACACACACACACACACACACACACACACACACACACACACACACACACACACACACACACAUUUACUGACCUUCAUGCAAACAUACUGGCUCUCAACUUACCACAGCUUUCUCUUUCUUAUGCCUGCAAAACUUGUAGAAGGAUUCGUUACAAUUGUUCAUGUUUAGUGUUGUUUUUUCCACUUCUUUCAGUGUAUUUAUUGUUCAUUGCUUUUGUGAUUUUCUAUGUUAUUUUUUUCUAUGCUUGUUCUCUGUCAUUGUGUUCCUGUGUUCCAUUUAUCUGUCUAUCAAUGAGACGUUGUUUCACUGAGUUUAAGUCAUAGGCGACAGGCAACAAUGGCUUUGUCUAUUUAUGAUCAUCACGUACUGACUGUUACUCUAAGAGAUCUGGUAAUCACACACACACACACACACACACACACACACACACACACACACACACACACACACACACACACACACACACACACACACACAGUCUGAAAACAGACAGUAUCUUGGAAAGUGCAUGUUGGUGAAUACUAAACACACACAAGCACUUUAGCUGUAUUUCUCCUUUAGGUUACUUUGUUAUAAUAACUUGUACCAUAACAGUUUUUUUUUGCAAUAACACUUACCAUCUAUUACAAACCAAUUCCUAAUAAACAAUUUAUUAUUUAACUCCAGAGAUGCAGUUUAACCACAGCAUUUACCUCAAACACUGUUGACCAGACAGCUUCAAUCUCAUUCAAUAAAGUCUACUUAAUCUACACAUCUUCUCCACUGUCCUUCAUUCAGUUUAUAAGGAC
rnacentral:lncRNA from 1 species